CCUACGGGAGGCAGCAGUGGGGAAUUUUGGACAAUGGGGGCAACCCUGAUCCAGCCAUGCCGCGUGCAGGAGAAGGCCUUCGGGUUGUAAACUGCUUUUGUACGGAACGAAAAGAAAUNGGUUAUAUACCGGGG
rnacentral:rRNA from 1 species